AACGAACGCUGGCGGCAUGCCUAACACAUGCAAGUCGAACGAGAUCUUCGGGUCUAGUGGCGCACGGGUGCGUAACGCGUGGGAAUCUGCCCUUUGGUUCGGAAUAACAGUUGGAAACGACUGCUAAUACCGGAUGAUGACGAAAGUCCAGAGAUUUAUCGCCAGAGGAUGAGCCCGCGUAGGAUUAGCUAGUUGGUGUGGUAAAGGCGCACCAAGGCGACGAUCCUAAGCUGGUCUGAGAGGAUGAUCAGCCACACUGGGACUGAGACACGGCCCAGACUCCUACGGGAGGCAGCAGUGGGGAAUAUUGGACAAUGGGCGAAAGCCUGAUCCAGCAAUGCCGCGUGAGUGAUGAAGGCCUUAGGGUUGUAAAGCUCUUUUACCCGGGAUGAUAAUGACAGUACCGGGAGAAUAGGCUCCGGCUAACUCCGUGCCAGCCGCCGCCGUAA
rnacentral:rRNA from 1 species